UUUUGGAAAAUUGUAUUUAGUUUACAUUUUUAUUCUCAUCUCUUUCCAAAACAUUCUAGACAUGAUUUCUGACUCAAUAAAGAUUAAUAAGCUAUCAAUCAACAUAAAUUAGUUAGUUAAGAAUGAAUUAUUGAUCUAGUGGUAAUUGUUUAAGAAGCCAAGCAAAAGAUCAAUCUAUUUGGAAAAGAAUGGCUUAGUAAUGAAAGAAUAUGUGAAACAAGAACCCAGUUUAUUUGAAUGAGAAAGAAUAAGCGUAGCAGAAGACUAGAAAAGUCAAGUUCGAUCAAGGAAGUAAUAUUGUAUUUCAAUGUGUAUAUGUUAUGUGCUUGUGUAGGUCAUGCGCCAUUGUCUGCCUGAUUUGUCUGAUUUGUUCAGUCCGUCUGAUUUGCUUCUGCGACUAUCUGUGAUCGGGCGCGUGACCAGGCUUAGAGGCAUCUGCCUAGAAUCUGUUUUUGUCAGCCAACCUAUGUGCCUCCCGUAGAGGUUCCAGACAUGUCAAGUGAUUAUCGCUAUGUGAUUUAAAGUUUAAGUUUUGUUUUCGUGUUUGGUUGAACAAGUCUUGUGUAUUUUGUAAAUAGGGCUAAGUCCUUUUUUAGUCUAAUCUGUAUUUAUAUGAUGACUUAAAGAUAAUGUGUAUAUAUGUAUAUAAAAAGUUUAAAAUUUUUCUGUCUCAUAUAA